rnacentral:rRNA from 1 species
UACGUAGGUGGCAAGCGUUGUCCGGAUUUACUGGGCGUAAAGGGCGCGUAGGCGGCCUUCUAAGUCGAACGUGAAAUCCCCGGGCUCAACCCGGGAACUGCGUCCGAUACUGGAAGGCUUGAAUCCGGGAGAGGGAUGCGGAAUUCCAGCUGUAGCGGUGAAAUGCGUAGAUAUCUGGAGGAACACCGGUGGCGAAGGCGGCAUCCUGGACCGGCAUUGACGCUGAGGCGCGAAAGCCAGGGGAGCAAACGGG